rnacentral:tRNA from 1 species
UCCUGCAUGGUCUAGUGGCUAAGAUACCUGGCUCUCACACAGGAGGACCCGGGUUCGAUUCCCGGUGUCGGAA